rnacentral:lncRNA from 1 species
UGGGUGAAUAGUCAUUAAGAUAAUCAUCUAUUGAUUAGGGAUAAUUUAAUGUAAACCUCCCGAAACCAUCACCAAGAUGACUACAUAAUUCAGAUGAUUCAAAAGGCUAUCAGGGAUUUAAACCAAACAACGGAUGAUUCAAAAGGCUAAUGUAAUCCAAACAACGGAUGAUUCAAAAGGCUAAGGCUAUCAGGGAUGUAAACCAAACAACAUCACAGUCAUGUACAAUAAAAGCAAUAACAAUGACUAGAAUUAAUUGGUGACACGAAACCAACAAUGAACUGUCGUUGCCAACGCCAAUAUGACCAGUCAAAGACAAAAAAAUUGGAAACCUACAAAGAUAUCGAACAACAUAAUUUGAAACCAAAUGUGUAUUAGCCUAGCGUUAUCAAUAUUUGACCGAUAACAUAUUAAACAGCAACAUAGUUUGAUACCGAUUGAGUAUUAGCCUAGUGGUAUCAACAUAAUUUCAAGUCUCAAGUUGGGAUGAAAUGUGUAGAUUUAAUAUUAGAACAACGAGUGCAUGUGUAAACCGUUAAAAUAAUUAAUUUUCAUUAUGAUCCCUAUUUAUGUCAAUUAAUUAUUUUAACGUUAUGUAUUUUACUGACACUUAUUUUCAUUCCUUUUUGGUCCUUACGUCCAUGAGUCCAUUGUUAGUUUUUUACAUCGACUUUAGACAUCGAAUAUUACCGAAUGUCAAAUAUACCCUUAAGUUUCAUAUAUAAUUUUUGAGACUAACAGAGUGUUAAUGCUCUGUUUUAUCAUUCGAUGUGAUAAAUAGUUUUAUUAUUUAAUAGUUAGCUUUUAUUAUUAUUUUAGUUAUUUCUAUAUUGACAUAUUUCCACGAUAGGCUUCAAUUUUGCCAUUGAUGCUGCAAUGCAUUUUAGACCUCAAGACUAUCUUGUAUACCAAAUCUCCACGGUAUUUUAUAUGACAUUAUGUAACNNNNNNNNNNNNAUAAGUUCAACAAGAUAAAAUAAAACAGGUUGACAAUGUUUGAUUGGACAAGGAUUGGGACCUAUGUCAUUGUGACAAAAAUAGUCCUGGAAAACUUGUCCAUUCUUGUGUAACAAAUGCAGCCUAAUUGACUUAUAUUUACAUGAAUCUUGAUUUUGUUGUUGGAACACAAUACAGUAGGGUUUGGAUGUGGUGCAUGGGUGUUAGGGUGCAAAGUCACUCUUGGAUGUAGUGUUUUAGGCUUACCCUCUUGUAUGUGUAAAUAGGUUGAGUCUUUCCUAUAAAUAGGAAGUGAGUGACUCUUAUUAUGAAAUGAACAAUUUGGAGUGUUAGACUAGAGAGAGAAACUUUGCACAAAUCCAUUUGUAUAUUCUUUCUAGAUCUAAUAUGAGCUUACACAUAUUUAAUUACUCCUUGUGUUCUUGAAUUUACAUGAUGAUUCACUAGAUCUUUCUAAUUCUGCACAUGUCAUCAUAAUCUACACCACUACAUUUCGUAUCAGAGCGGGUGUUCUUGAUUGGAUCAAGAAUUGAUCCUUGAUGGCUAUCUUGAUUUGGUGAUUCUUCAUGUUCUUAUUGAUCUUCGUGUUUUGAGAGUGUUCUGUGUUCUAGAAAUCGAUUUUUUCCUUGAUUUGAUCCAUAAUUCGAUUUUCUCUCUCUAGAAUACUUGUUUGUAUCACUUUUUCUCUCUAGAAAACUCAUUCAAAAUCACUUUCUCUCUCUAGAAAUUUUCAAGUUCUUGUGAUCAUGGUGAAUUUGCAUUAUGAUUCUUGGGUUGUGAUCGUUGAAGAUGUCAAAUACAAAGUCAAUGAAGAUCAGUUUUAUGGGUUAUUGUUAAACCGGUUGAUUUCAUGGGAUACUAUGGUUUCUUAUGGAGGCUUGAAAGAUGAUCAUGGAAUGUUAAUUUUUCAACGACUUGGGGAGAUUGAAUUUUUAAUCACAAUCGCAUUGUACAUGUUAAAUCGUAAUGGAAAUCAGAAGGAAGGAAAAGAAAGAGAUUUGUUUAAUAAGAAAUACAUUUCUCUUAUUGAAGACCCAAAUGAUCUUCUUGCUCUUAAGGUUUUUGAAGUUCAAAACAAUGGAGUUCAAUGUGAUGUUCUUGAGGUUCAAGAAAAAGGAGUUCAAGUUGAUUUUCAAGAUGAAAUUUUUUUUUGAAACAUCCUUUCACGACUCUAUUCCCAUCUCAAUCCCCUGAAGAUCCUCAACCAAUAACUUCUCAAGCUCAUUCCGAUGAUGAAACCUAAGGAGGUGGUUUUGGAGGUACAUUUGAAGAACUUCAUUUCGAUUCAGAGGAGGAGAUACCUGACCACAUGCUUAUGUCGGGUAAACAAUUCAAAAUCCUUAAUCGCAAGUUAAAUACCAUCCUUCAGUCACAAGCUGACUCUGGUGCAAAGCAUUCGCUUUCUGGUAUGGAGGUUGAUGCGAUGAUAAAAGCACCAGAAAUAAGACAGAAGACUGCUUGAGAAGAUAGAUGGUAAUGAUCAAAAUAAUGAGUUUUGGCUUAAAGCUCAAGGGAAAAACUUUGAUGGUGCCUUACAAGAACUGAAAAAUGUCAGAAAAGAACGUCAUGUUCUUUUUGUCCAAGAUGUCAAGAAAGUAAGGGAGGACGUGAACUUGAAAGUCGAAGAGUUAAAGCAAGAGAUUGCAAAAGAGCUUCAACAAAUUACUUCGCAAAAUUCGAUAGUGCAACAACGUGUUGAUAUCGUGGCUGACGCACUCACAAAAAUUGUUAAAGACUAUCAAUCAACUGCGCCAACUAUCGAAGCCAAGAGCAAAGAUGACAAGGAGCAGUUCGCUAAGCUCAUUGAGUUAUUAGCUGAACUAAAGGGCAUUGUGUCAAAGCCUACUCCUCAGACAAUUUUGACUCCUGAAUUCCUAACGCUAAAAGUGAAUUCGUUGGAGCAGGCAAUUCAGAAGGCUUUGGCUCCUAUAACAAAUUUUACUUUGCUUUUGCCGAAGAAUGCCCCACCUGCUUUCACAGGGGUGCAAGGGGGAGAAGUAAAAGGAAGUAAAGGGGAGGAUGGAAAAGUUGUUGGGAAAUUGCAUUCGACUCAACUAAAAACGACAUUACCUUUGAAGACCAGCCCAAUUCCUUCAACAAUAGUAACAUCAAAACCAAUUACAAAAUUAAUUCCUAAAGGAAUUAAAAUUGGUUCAGCAGAUAAAGGAAGUUCAAGUGCGAAGCCUGAUACUUCAAAUAUUGUGAAGGGAAAAGGUAUUGCUCAUGAAAAGUCGAAGGAAGAGAAGAAAGCUAAAAUUGAUGCUGAAAUAGAGAAACAGAGGCAUAUUCAAAGCAUUCUGAGGCUAAGAGAAAAUGAUCCACCAACAAUGAACAAAGGAAAUCCUGCAAAGUGAUACUCAUUUGAAACAAUUGAAUCCAGAGUAUUGGGGAACCACAUGUAUGCAUUUGAGAAAAACCAAGGAGAAGCUAUGCCACUUCGAACUCAGACAUAUGUCAACUAGACUUCCCAAUUAAUGAAAUGAUGUUUAUCACUUCACAGUACAAGGUCAGUGAAAGAUUCAAACAUCCUGAGGAGUACACUUACUUGAAAAUUAGAUUUCAUGCUGUACUUGGGAAAAAUCAAGAUGAAGUUUGGUCCCUGGUAAAGAUAAAAAGAGUGAUGGCAAUCAAGAAAGAUGUAAUGUUCGAAAAUCUGCUUCAGAACUUUUGUUACUUUGUGGUUCGAGCAGACAAUAAACCAUUUGAUUUUACAAUUGCUGACUUUCCUUUGAUGAAUCUCAAUGAUCUCAUUCAAGUGGCCCUAAUUUUGAAGGAUAUGGAAGAAACCCAUCUGAAGGAAACUGAUUUAGAUGUGUUUAGACUUGGUUUAGGGCAUCUCAAGAUAUUCAUAGAAAAUUACUAUGAUUGCUUGGCCUUAACUGAUGAAGAGCUUGCUUCAGGUCUUGGAAGAAAGGGUAAUGUUUCUAUGGACCCUACGAAGCCUCAACAGGAGUUGAUGAAAUAUGCUGAUGGUGAAAUUUGUCUCAAACCAUUUAGCAUGGUAUUCGCAGGGAAAGACACAAAGGGAAAGGCACGAAGAUUCUUGUUUCAAGUUGUUGAGAUCGAAAGAUACACAACUUUGCAAUAUACGAACUUUUUUGUUCGUAUGAAUAACUGCAACAAGAGCAAUGAUGAAGACAAGAAGGAACUGAAGAAAAUAAUCACUUGGUACUCAUAAAUUCGAAGGACAACGCACUCUAUUGCUCAAGUUCUCACUAAUUGAGUGACUUCGACUGUUUACAAAAGGGGAGAAUGUUGAGUCAUUUAGUUGUAAAAGUCGAAGCAUUGUUUGUUCUAUUUCGCAUGUAUUUAUUUACUAAGUCUUUUUAUGUCGAAGCUUAAUGUCUAGACUUAGUAUUUUUUGUACACUCAUGUUUCCUAUAAAUAGGGGUUGAGGAUAGAAGUAGACACACGAGUCUUUCUGCUUAUUUUGUAAUCAGUAUUGUAUUAUAAUUCUUUGUUUAAUACAAACUUGCUGAUUAAUAUUUACAUUUGGUGUUCAUAUCAUUGAUUACUCAUUCAUCUAGAUCAUGAUUGCUUUCUAAAUCUCGAUUACAAUUCUCAUCAAUGGGAAUUUAGAUUAGUUGGGAGAAUGGAGUUAAUAUUUUAGGAGUUAUGAAUUAUAAUCAUGGAACAUGAAAGCCCUAUAAAUUGACAUUUUUUUCCGCUUUUCUUGAUUUUUAUUUUAUUCGAUGAUUUAGACCGUGUUCUUAAAGACAAGACUAUCAUUUAUGAUAUGAGCAGUCAACAAAUUGAACGGGCAGAUGGUAAUUGUAAGUUUNUGAACAAUUAGUUGGUGUUUACUUCAUUUCUGCUAUCUCAAGACAUUCAAAAUUUGAAAAUCUACAAACAAUGAACAUAAUUUAAUAUUUUAUUUUAUUUUAUAUUAACUAAAAAUUAUUCAUUUUUGUAUAUAAAGUUAGAGCUACCAUCUGCCCAUCCGAUCUAUUGAACAACCAGAUCAUAAACAAUAGUCUUGACUUUAAGAACAAGGUCUAAAUCACAGAAUAAAAAAUAAAAAUCAAAAAAUGCGAAAAAGAAAAUGUUAAUUUAAAGGGUUUUCAUAUUCCAUGAUUAUAAUUCAUACCUCCUAAAAUAGUAACUCUUUCCCAACUAAUCUGAAUUCCCAUGCACCGCACCCCAAGCCCACUAUAUUGUGUUAAAUAUAAGUCAAUUAGGAAUUGAAACUUUUCUAAAGGAAAAUGCCCUAUGGGACAUUGGAGAAAAGAAGAACCAUUCAUUCCUUUAUAAUACUUUUUGCUACUUGUUUACUAAUUAGAUCAAAACUUUGGGCUAAAUGGGAAUGGGUUGGAUUCAGUAGGGCUGGUAAUAUGUACCAUGGAAAACCAACCAAGACGUUACCAACCAUACCAAAUAUGUUUGUAACCAAUAUGUUUGAUGGGUAGUACCAAUACCAAUUGAGUAAUCAUGGUACAAUAUUGGUACAAUGUUUUCAAUACAAAUGUAAUAUCAUACCAACCAAUUCCAUUAUAUAUAUAUAUAUAUAUAUAUAUAUAUAUAUAUAUNNNNNNNNNNNNNNNNNNNNNNNNNNNNNNNNNNNNNNNNNNNNNNNNNNNNNNNNNNNNNNNNNNNNNNNNNNNNNNNNNNNNNNNNNNNNNNNNNNNNNNNNNNNNNNNNNNNNNNNNNNNNNNNNNNNNNNNNNNNNNNNNNNNNNNNNNNNNNNNNNNNNNNNNNNNNNNNNNNNNNNNNNNNNNNNNNNNNNNNNNNNNNNNNNNNNNNNNNNNNNNNNNNNNNNNNNNNNNNNNNNNNNNNNNNNNNNNNNNNNNNNNNNNNNNNNNNNNNNNNNNNNNNNNNNNNNNNNNNNNNNNNNNNNNNNNNNNNNNNNNNNNNNNNNNNNNNNNNNNNNNNNNNNNNNNNNNNNNNNNNNNNNNNNNNNNNNNNNNNNNNNNNNNNNNNNNNNNNNNNNNNNNNNNNNNNNNNNNNNNNNNNNNNNNNNNNNNNNNNNNNNNNNNNNNNNNNNNNNNNNNNNNNNNNNNNNNNNNNNNNNNNNNNNNNNNNNNNNNNNNNNNNNNNNNNNNNNNNNNNNNNNNNNNNNNNNNNNNNNNNNNNNNNNNNNNNNNNNNNNNNNNNNNNNNNNNNNNNNNNNNNNAUAUAGCCAUGGGCCUAUGACUCUUGGGGUAUCAUUGCUAAUUAAUAUUAUUUAUGUAUUAAUUCCGAAUUUUAUUUAAUUAUUAAAUAUGUUAAUUGUUAAGUAAUUGUUAGAUAGUUAAUUAGCAGUUAAGUUUGGUUUUGAACGGGUGUGUUGGUUGGGAUUGAUUAACUGCCAGUAUGAAACCUAUAAAUACAUCACCAAAUAUCACAUUUAAGGAUUAGACAAACACUCACGUAUUCUUCCUAUAUUUUCGGAUUCUACAUUAAUGAAGGGAACUAACUGAAUUUCAUCAAAAUCAAGAUCGUAUAUUGAUUAGAUUGUUGUAUCCUCUAGAUGGAUCCCUGUUAGAAAAAUUCCUGUUUUAGGACACUGCAACUUCACAUGCUUCACUCUCUACACAAAUUCGAGUUUGUAAUAUGUUGUAAUCUACACUCAAGUACGUUUUUCUUAUGAAUUAAUUCUUGUAUAUUACAUCUAAUUCAAUUUCGUUUUGUAUUACAUCUAUUGUUUUUGUCUAUUGUACUUCUAGCAUAACAUUAGGCUAUAUUUAUUACACGAGAAUGGACAAGUUUUCUUAGCUUUUUAUGUCAAUGGCAUAGGUCCCGAUCCUCGUCAAAUCAUACAUAUAGUCGACCUAUUAUAUUUUAACUUGUCUAACUUACAAAAUGGGGACUUAACAUAAUAUCAUAUAACAUACCGUUGAGAUUUGGUAUACAAGAUAGUAUUUAGUAUUGAGAUCUAAAAUUUAUUGAAGCACCACCGGCAAAGUUGAAACGUACCGUGGGAAAUAUACCAAUAUAGAAAUAACGAAAAAAUAUAAUGAUUAAAUACUAAAAAUAUUUAUUUUAUCGAAUAAUAAAAAAGAGCAUUAACACUCUGUUAGUGUCAAAAAUGAUACUAACAAAAAUGAUAUAUGAAAGUUAAAAGUAGAUAUAACAUUUUGUAGUAUUUUAAGUCUAAAGUUGUUGUAAAGAAUUGGCGAUGGACUCAUGGACAUUAAACUAGUAAGGACCAAAAACAAAGGAAGAUACAUGUCAAUAAAAUACAUAACGUUAAAUAAUUAAUUGACAUAAAUAGAGAUUAAAAUGAAAAUGAAUUAUUUUGACGGUUUACACAUGCACUUGCUGUUCUACUCUUAUAUCUACACAUAUCAUCCCAACUCGAGGCUUGAACCCUCACUUUUUUUACCGAUACCGAUAGACACCUAUCAGUCAAAUCUUGAUACCGGUAGCCUAAUACUAAUUUGGUUUAAAAUGAUAUUUAACUAAUAUAAUUGGUAGAUGUCGGGGGAGCUAAAAGGAGCACUCCACAUAAUGCUAGGGAAAUCAAAUAUUUAGAAAAAUGAGUUUUACAUUUCAACAUUAUGUUCACACACACACGCACAUAUGUUAAGGAUAAGUAUAUGUGGCGAAGCACGACAAAUAUAUCUAUAUAUGUGGUGAAGCACGACAAGUAUAUAUUGGUUUAAACUAAUUGGAAGUACAACUCAUUUGGAUCUACUAAUGGCGACAAUAAGCUUUACCGGCGACAUUUUGAUCAAUAACGAGGGACAGUAGCAGCGACUUGUCUCCAUUAUUACUUUUAUUGGUGACUAAGCAAACUCUUUGCGGUGCUUUUUUGUCGCCGCUAAUAAUCGUUUUUUCUUGUAGUGGAUAAAGUCCUAAAAUCAACAAAACUAUCCUAAAAAUUACAUACAUUUUAAAUUAAUAAAACUAUCUCAAAAUUAAUAUAUAGAUUUUUAACAAGGGAUAUGGGAAAAGUGUAACAACAAAUAACGACAAAGCUUUAUUUGCACUAAAGCUAUGAUGAAAUAAAACAAGUGAAGAUAAUGAUGUGUGUAAGGGUUUUUACAAAAAUAAAGGAAAUAAACAUAAGGGUAUUUAGAUAAGGGUGUUGGGUAUGGGCAACGCCCUAUGGGCGUCAGGGGCGGAUCCAAGGGGUAUCCCGGGGUAGCCUGGGAUACCCCUCAAAAAAAUUUCGGUAGUGUAAAUUUUUAGAAAAAUAAAUUGUUUUAUUUAGUGUAUAUAUACCCAUCCAUUCACUUAUAAGCACAAACAAAUAGUUAGUCUACUGGUUAAGGUGUUGGCUUGAUGAAAUAAAAGUCUCAGAUCAAUUCUUGUUCCUUACAAAUCAUUUGUUUACAUUUCUUUUAUUUUUCCAGCUAUUUUAUUCUUUUAUUUUCCUAACUAUUAUAUCCCACAUUGCCAAACACAUGUAAACUUAGUUAUUUUCAUCUAUUAUAUAAGUUUGUUAUCCUAAUGCUUUAUUUGAUAUCUACUUUAAGUCCACAUGGAUUGAAGUAUCAAAAGAUACUUCAAUUUCAUGUUUAUAUAACAGUACUUGAAGUUAGCUAAUGAUUCGAUUAAGGUUUGGGUUUAAAACCAAAACCAAACCAGGAAACCCAAGUACAAAUUGAAAACUGAAAAACCAAACCAAUGGUAUUGGGUUCGGUUUGGUUUAAAAUUUUCAAAACUGAGGCUAUUGGUUUUGGGUUCGGUUUUAGGAAAAACUAACCCAACCCGCCCAAUGCUCAGCCGAUGCGGUGAUACCCAGAAAAAAAAAUGGGAUACCCCUUUACUUUGAGUCUGGCUCCGCCACUGAUGGGUGUUAUAACACACAAAAACAGCCCUCUUUACCUUUUUUGGGUGUUAUACAUCCGCUGUUGCUUCCCGUUGCCACCAUCACCUUCGUUUAACUCUGUUUCUUUGUUUUUACCAAAAAACGCCGAUGUGGGCGUUGACCACAUCGACCAGCUUAAGGAAUUAAGGAAAGGAUUUUGGAGAAUUGAUUCUACAAGCUUACAAAAAUAUUUGGUCAAGAAAAGGAACGGUCUUCAAGGUAUGGUUUAAUGGAUAUUGAUUUCAAUAAAUAGAGAGUGAUAUACGAACCAACAAUAACUCAAAAGAAGACAAAUUGUUUAAAAAGGGGAAGAGAAGGUUGAUCACGUAGGUACUUACAAAAGUGAAGGAAAGAAACAUCAUGAUAUCAAAUGAUGGUACAUGAAUCAAAUUUCUAUUCUAAAAGGGAUGUAUGAGUUCUAAGAAGGAUUAAAGUUGAUGCAUGAAAAAAGUUUUAUUUUAUUUUAUUUUAUCUUUAUCCAGUUUUCAAGAAGGGUUAUAGGGUGUCAAUGGAAUGGUCACAUGUGGCUACUUUCGUUCUUUCGUUAAUGUUAAACAGGUGGAUAAGGAUGAUGGGUUGAAAUUAAACACUAAAAGAAGGAAGAGAAGAUAUUUGUGAAAAAGAAAAAUAUAGAAUCAAAGAAGAUAAACAAAAGAACAAAUGGAACGGUGUAUAUGAUAGGUUUUUCACCUUGUGUUGCAAAGGAGUACACAUGAAGAAAUCACAAAACAAACGUACAAUCAUUAAAGUAUUAAACAUCCAAGAUUUGAGGACAAAGGAAGAAGUAACUCAAGCCUAGAUUAAGGGGUAUGUUGAAAUGUAAUCUACAUUUUGGAUUAAUAUAUGGUAAUUUCAUAGCCGUGUUAUCGAAGUUAACUUCUGUGUAAAGAAAGCUUCAUGCACACACUAUACUUGUAAGUUCUUAUUUUGAGGAUCAACUCCAACAAACUUCACAAGUGUUUCAAUUUUCAAAAUUUAUCCUUUAUCAAAUGCCAAUAAGAGUAAAAGCUAGAGAGAAAGAGAGAAGGUUGCAAGCUGAGAUAGAAGAUUAGGAAACUAGGAGAUGCCAUUGAUUCUCUUCUAAUUUGUUUUGGAUAUGGUGUCCAGUUCUUGAUGAUAGUGAAUAUAUAGAGGAAGAGACUUUAUAUAAAGUAUAAAGGAUGACCAUGAAGUUUCGUGUAGACCUGGCAAUUUGCUACAUGACACGAUUAACACGAUACGAGUUUUUCGUGUAUGUGUUUUAGAAAUUCGUGUUUCGUGUUUAUUUGUGUCUGACACAUUUUAAAUUCAUGUUUCGUGUCUUACACGUGUCAAACACAAAUUUACAUGUUUAGACACGUAUAAGACACGAUACAAAAUCAUGUUGACAUGUGAUACGUACAAACACACACACACACACACACACAUAUAUAUAUAUAUAUUAGGGUUAAAUUUUAUAUUUACAAUAUAUUAGGGAACAAUUUCAUAAAACACAAUAAUUAGUUUAUAUCCCUAGCUUUAAAAAAAAGCCAUUAAAAACGUGACUAUUCGUGUCGUGUCACGUGUCACACGAAUUUUUUACAUGUCGUGUUCGUGUUUGAUACCCCAAACACGUUUUAUAAUUCGUGUCGUGUUUGUGUUUAACAAAUUCAUAUCGUGUAAAUUCGUGUGUGACACGAAUACACGACACGCAGACACGGAUUGCCAGGUCUAGUUUCGUGGAACCUUCCUUAUAACUUCCUUCGUCACUUCAACAAUGUGAAUGUGUUUAAUGGAAAAGUAACAAAAAAUAUAUUUAUUACAAGAAAUUAAGUGAACUGUUAUUUCUUUUUGAUGCAAUAACAUCAUUUAUUUUUAUAAACAACAAAUAGACAAAAAAAUGUUCACCUUUCCUUGCUUUUAUGUAACAUACAUUCAAAAUCAUGGAAACGAUAAUAAUUAUUUAUUAUUAUUAUUAUUUAUGUUGAAAUUUGGAGAUUGAUUAUAUAAAACUACUUAUCAAAUUAUUCAAAAAUAAAUUUUUUAUUUUUCUAUUAUAGUGAAUUUUUGGACAACAUAUUUCAUGUACAACAAUAUAUCAUGAUCAUAUGUCCAUAUGUUAACACUAAUUGUGGGAUAUCAAAAGAAUAAUAAUAAGUUUAAGAUGAUGAUUAGGCUGCAACAAUCGAAAGAAUGCAACUUAAGAAGAUGAAAACUCUGAAGAUUAAAACCAAUCGAGAUUUAGUAAUUAAAAAGUAAGGUGUUUUCUUUUUAGGAACAAAGUCAAUCAUGUGGUCUUUGGUAAAAAAAUAAAAUGAGUUUCUCUACAACAAAAGAUAAAAAGGAGUACAAGGCUUUAUUAAAAGAAGGGUAGUAUGGUCUUUUGACAAAAAAACAUGGAUGGGAAUUGUUUCUAACCUUAUUAAAUGAGGAAAUCGUACAAGAAUAUAAUAAUGAAAAGAUCACUAUUUAGCAUGUGCCAUGGUGUACUAUUUGAUUUAUGCAAAGAUGAUGAUAACGUUUUAUCUUGAAAACAAAAGCUUAAAGUGGUAUUUCCAAAUACGAAAAGCUUUUUAUCUCUCUGUUAAAUUAUUAUGAAAACCUUUGUAUAUUGUAUUAUUUACUAGAUAUUUGAUAUAUAAUCUAUAGAAUACAAAUAAAACCUAAUCGUUAGUGAUCAAUUAGUAAUUAUUCCUCUCUUCGAUUAUUGUAAAAAAUGUGUACAUCAAAAUUUAUAAUAUCGUUAGUGAUCAAUUAGUAAUUAGUAGACAUACAUACAACAAAAAGUAAAUAUAAUCGAUAUAAGAGCAAUUAGGAGAAAAGUUUUUACUUGAUUUUUUCCAAAAGAGUCAACAAGAAAUGCAAAUUUAAAGAUCUACUACUAAUAUAUAAAAUCAUGACUAAAUUAUAAUACUCUUUUCCUAAGGAUUACUCUGUAUUUAUGAAGUUACUUCAGUUUAUUAAAAAGAAAAUUUUAAAUAAAUUUACGAAGAGAGAUAUAAAUUCAAUAGAAUCCUUAAAUGAAAACCAUAAAAGGGGCUCAAUUGAAGACAUAAAUACGAACAGGAUAUAAAAAUAAACAUUUUAAGAAAGAGGAAAAGAGCUCUUGAAAUGAGGAAGUAAGAUCACGCACCUAAUUGUUGAUUAACAAGGAUAUAAGUUGAUAAUGGUGGAAUUAGCUUUGAAAGAAAGGUUGUGGACUUGUGGGGUUCAUUCAGGAAUUUCGUCGAACAGGUCAUGGACAGAUAAAUUAACAAAAAAAAAAAUACACGUUCAACCAUGAUCAUCGAACAGCCUAACCAUGAGUUGACGCAAGAAAGAAACUUGAUUAGAAAUACAAACAAGGCCGGUCGAUUUCCGGCCAAAUAUUAAUCGAUCUUACUUGUGAGUGGUGACCGGAGAGCGGAGACCCGGAUCUCCUUUUUUUCCCCAUGUGUUCUUCCUGCAACCAUGUCCACCACCCGUUUGAUCAAUUGCAAUCUGGACACAGUUAUCGAUAACACUGAUUUUUCAUAUAAAUGCUUCCACAGAGGCUGCUGAUGAGGACGUUUGGUGCAUCGGUGGCGAAGUUAAGUUGGUGGGCUUUCAGAAGAGAGAUUGUUCGCCGGCAAAGGAAGUGUAGAUGAAGAGGGAGAAAGGAAAGCAGAUGAAGAUGAAGUGCAGUGUAUCUCAGAUGAGUGGGGAUUAAAUUCCCCUUUGUAGAACCAAACACGUGAAUAGAUUCUACUUUUUAGCGUUUCUUUUUAUGUUGGAAAUGUUUUUUAAA